rnacentral:lncRNA from 1 species
CAUUAUGCCUCUGAUGUGUUUCUUCAUCACCAACAAAUAAGACAAGUUUAAGCAUAGUGAUUGUUUGUUUGUUUCCCUCUUGAUUUAUUUCUCCAGGUGCUCCAGUGUCAAAAGGCCAUUUCAGUCAUCCCAACAACAGUUGGACAUUUGAAUGUGUUGAGUGAUUAUUGCAUAGGAACUUAAUUCAACAGUAUUUCACUUUAUUGCAUAGUCCCAAUGCAUAUCUGUUGAGUGAUUAUUGCAUACGAACUUAAUGACACAGUCUUUCACUUUAUUUAGAUUGUCCCAAUGCAAAUCUACAGAGGAUUACUUGUCACGUCCUGACCAGUAAAAGAGGUUGUUUGUUAUUGUAGUUUGGUCAGGGCGUGGCAGGGGGUGUUUGUUUUAUGUGUUUCGGGGGUUUUGGUAGAUGUUCUAUGUUAGUAUAUUUCUAUGUCCGUGUCUAGUUUUUCUAUUUCUAUGUUUAGGAUUUUUGUUUGACCUUCAAUUGGAGGCAGCUGUUUCUUGUUGCCUCUGAUUGGAGGUCCUAUUUAGGGUUAGGGUUAGGGUUUUUCAGCUUGUGUUUGUGGGUGGUUGUUUUCAGUCUAGUGUUUUGUACCUGACGGAACUGUUAAGCUGUCGUUUGGUUCUUGUUUUGUUUACGUGUUCAAUAAAAGUUAAAAAUGAGCACUCAACCCGCUGCGCCUUGGUCUACUCCCUUCGACGGCCGUUACAUUACUGGAGUGUUAGUGAAUGCACAUCAGUUGAUACAUAUUUGAAUGUGAAGUAUAUAGUCUGUAGACCAACUAAAAUCAACUUGUGUUUCACUUUAUUUGGAUAGUCCAAAAGCAUAUCUACAGAUAGAACAAUAGAAUGAACUUGUUACUGAUACACAGUUGAGAUGCUGCUGAUAAUCUCCUGUUUGUUUGUUAAUCAUCUAUAGUCCCGUGUGGCUCAGUUGGUAGAGCAUGGUGUUUGCAACGCCAGGGUUGCAAACACACGGGGGACCAGUACGGGGAAAAACUUUUUUUUUAAUGAAAUGUAUUCACUACUGUAAGUCGCUCUGGAGAAGAGCGUCUGCUAAAUGACUAAAAUGUAAAAAAAAUUGCUGGGUCGUGGCAUUGUAAAAGCGAGGGGAUAUACUGUUGAAAUAUGACUUACGGGCUACAGAUAUAGUGUUGAAAUUCUGCUGAUAGUUUACAGAGGGAUUGUAGAGCAUCUAUAGAUGGACUAUAGACUACCUUGAUGAAAAUGUUGAGAUAUACUGUUGAGAUGCUACUGAAAGUCUAAAGAUAUGUUGAUGAAAUACUGCUGAUAGACUAACUGUAGAUGAACUACAGACAUGCAGUUGACAUAUUACUGAUAGUCUGUAGAGCAUCUACAGAUGGACUAUCCAAAUAAAGUGUUACCUUGUGUUAACAUCAAUACAUUUGAUGUGAAACCUGCAAUGAAAUGAAAUCCUACAGGAAUGCAUUGGAUCCAGCAAAGAGGUACAGGUAACCCAUUUUUGCUAAACGUCUUCACAAUGAGUGCACCAAAUUUGACAUGAAGCUAGAAAUAUGGCCGCCAACCAGCUCCAUUGGUUUUAAUUGGAUUGGUAUGACAUUGCUACAACUCUUCCAAUAAUGGUGGAAUAUGCCCAAUGAUAACUGAAAUAUGAUUAUAGUUAUGCAGGUAACACAACCAACUUAGCCAGGUUUGUAAAAUACAUCUUUGUAAAAUAUUAGCAAAAAUCUUCACAACUUUUGCCAAAAACACAUCAUAAUUGUUUUUGGUCAGUAUUUGUAUCACUCAUUUAUAUAUUUUAUAAAAAAAAUGGAUCGAUAAUAUUCCUAAAGGGAUAUUCCUGGUAGCAAUUAUAAUGAUAUACAAUACUAUGCCAUGUUGUUAAAUAUAGAAUCUACGUCUUGAAUCCUGUCAUAUACACGCAUUCCAACAUAAAAGUAUAACAAAACACCUGACAAGAGCAUUAACUUACAUAGCUGGUGAAGAGUAUAAAAGCCUUAGGUUAGCAGCCUUUAUCGAUGGUGUCAAGUUACACUAUGAAAAAAUGGUAUAUUGUAGUGAAAUAUGCAUUGGUUGUUAAAAUUACAUGAUGCACACCAGUAGUCAUCAGUGAUGCAUUCACUUGUGAUGAAUGCUGCAGGCAUUGAUGUCUUGAAAUGCCUGCAAGGGAAAGGAAAAAUGUAUUCAUGUUACCCCUCAAGCUAUGGACUGGGGUCAUUGUGACUCGAGAGGCAUAUUUCUUAAUCAUAGCCCAAAGGUGGUUUAUUAAAUUCUUCAAAUUCUUCAUGACUUUGUCAAUCAACUUGUUCUGUGUUUCUGUAUCAAUAUGGACUUAAAAAAAGUUCAAGUGGCAACGGCAGUGGUAGUAACGGCUGCAGUAGCGGCACUACAGUUAUGGUAGUGGCAGCAGUAGUGGCGGCAGCAGUUGUGGUGGCAGCGGCUGCUGUUGUAGUGGCUGCUGCAGUUACAGUGUGGUGGCAUGGGCUGUCGUAGUGACGGUUACAGUUGUGGUGGCGGCUGCUGUUGCUGUGGUGGCAGGGGCUGUCAUAGUGGUGGCCGUAGUUUUGCUGGCAGCAACUGCAGUGGUGGUUGCAGCAACUGUUGUCUUAGUGGCGGCUGCAGUUGUGGUGGCGGCUGCAGUUGGGAUGGCACCGACUGUCGUAGUGGCGGCUCCAAUUGGGGUGGCAGCGGCUGUCAUAGUUAGCGACUGCUGUUGUGGUGGCAGAGGGUGCUGUUGUUGUAGCAGGGGCUGUCAUAGUGGUGUCUGUAGUUUUGUUGGCAGCAACUGCAGUUGUGGUUGCAGCGGCUGUUAUCUUAGUGGCAGCUGCAGUUAUGGUGGCAAGGGCUGUCAUAGCGGUAGCAGCUGUUGUCAUAGUGGCAGCUGCAGUUCAGUUACCAGCUGCAGCUGUGGUGGCAGUAGCUUUCAUAGUGGCAGCUGCAGUUAUGGUGGCAAGGGUUGUCGAAGUGGCAAUUGUCGUGGUAGCGGCUGAAGUUGUGUGGCAGGGCCUGUCGUAGUGGUGGUUGCAGUUGUGGUGGCAGCUGGAGUUGUAGUGGCAGCGGCUGCUGCAGUUACAGUGUGGUGGCAUGGGCUGUCGUAGUAGCGGCUACAGUUGCGGUGGCGGCUGCUGUUGCUGUGGUGGCAGGGGCUGUCAUAUUGGCGGCUGUAGUUAUGUUGGCAGCAACUGCAGAUGUGGUUGCAGCAGCUGUUGUCUUAGUGGCAGCUGCAGUUAUGGUGGCUGCUGUAGUUGUGGUUGCCUCAGUUGUGGUUGCAGCGGCUGCUGUAAUACUGGCAGCUGCAGUUGGGAUGGCACCGACUAUCGUAGUGGUGAAUCCAAUUGUGGUGACAUGGCCUGUCAUAGUGGUGGCUGCAGUUGUGGUGGCAGCGGCUGUCAUAGUUAGCGACUGUUGUUUUAGCGGCUGAAGGUGUAGUGGCAGGGGCUGUCGUAGUGGCGACUGCUGUUGUGCUGGUAGAUGCUGCUGUUGUAGCGGUUGAAGUUGUGGUGGCAGGGGCUGCCGUAGUGGCAGUUGUGGUGUUUACAUUUGUGGUAGUGAAUGCAGUUCUGGUGACAGCAGAUGUGGUGGCAUCAGCUGCUGUCAUAGCGGAAGCUGCAAUUGGGAUGGCAGCGGCUGUGAAGUGGUGGUUCCAGUUGUGGUGGCAGGGAAUGUCAUAGUUGCGUAUGCAGUUGUGGUGGCAGGGGUUGUCGUAGUGGUGUCUGCAUUUAUGGUGGUAGUGACUGUUGUCGUAGUGGCAGCAGCAGUUGUGGUAGCUGUGGCUGAUGUUAUGGAAGUGGCUAAAGUUGUGGUGUCAGGGGUUGCCAUAGUGGUGGCUGCACUUGUGAUUGCAGUGGCUGCUGUUGUGGUAGCGGCUAAAGUUGUGGUAGCCUGGGUUGUCUUAGUGGUGUCUGCAUUUGUGGUGGCAAGGGCUGUCGUCAUGUGUCCUUAGUUACGGUGGCAGUGGCUGCAGUAGUGGUGGCAGUGGAUGUUGUCAUAGCGGCAGCUGCAGUUGUGGUGGCAGCUGCGGCGGCAGUUGCACUUGUGGCUGAUGUUGUGGAAGCGGCUAAAGUUGUGGUGGCAGGGGUUGCCUUAGUGGUGUCUGCAUUUGUGGUGGUAGAAGCUGUUGUCAUAGUGGCAGAUGCAGUUGUACUGGCAGAGGCUGUCGUCAUAGUGGCAGCUGCUGUUGUGAUAGCAGCUGCACUUGUGAUUGCAGUGGCUGCUGUUGUGGUAGUGGCUAAAGUUGUGGUGGCAGGGGUUGUCGUAGUGGGGCCCUUAGUUACGGUGGCAGGGGCAACAGUAGUGGUGUAAGCUGCACUUGUGGUUGCAGUGGCUGAUGUUGUGGUAGCUUUUAAAGUUGUGGUGGCAGGGGUUGUAUUUGUAGUGCCUGCAGUUGUGCUGGUAGCGGGUGUUGUCGUAGUGGCAACUAAAUUUGUGGUGGCAGGGGUUGUCUUGGUGGUGUAUUUAGUUGUGGCGGUAGCAGCUGUUGUUAUAGUGGCAGCUGCAGGUGUAGUGGCAGAAGCUGUUAUCAUAGUUGCAGCUGCAGUUGAUGUAGCAGCAGUGGUUGCAGUGGCUGCUGUUCUGGUAGUGGCAGCUGUUGUUGUGGUGGCCGUGACUGUCAUAGUUGCAGCUGCAGUUGUGAUUGCAGCUGCUGCUCUUGUGGGACCAGCUGGAGUUGUGGUGGCAGCUACAGUUGUGGUGGCGGCUACAGUUGCUGUGGUGGCAGGGGCUGUCGUAUAUGUGGCUGCAGUUGUGGUGGCAGGGGCUGUCGUAUAUGUGGCUGCAGUUGUGGUGGCAGGGGCUGUCGUAGGGACGUCUGCAGUUACGGUGGCAGGGGCUGCAGUAGUGGUGGCAGCGACUGUGGUCGUGGUGGCAGCUGCAGUUGUGGUGGCAGCAGCUGUUGUGGUAGCAGUCGUAGUGGUGGCUGCACUUGUGGUAGCAGUCGUAGUGGUGGCAAAUGCAGUUGUGGUUGCAGAUGCUGCUCUUGUGGUACCAGCUGGAGUUGUGGUGGCAGUGGCUGCUGUUGUAGUGGCUGCUGUAGUUGUAGUGGCUGCUGUAGUUGUAGUGGCAGCUACAGUUGUGCUGGCGACUGCUGUUGCUAUGGUGGCAGAGGCUGUCGUAGUGGGGUCUGCAUUUGUGGUGGCAGUGGCUGCUGUUGUGGUAGUGGCUAACAUUGUGGUGGCAUGGGUUGUCUUAGUGGUGUCUCCAGUUGUAGUGGUAGAGGCUGUCGUAGUGGCGUCUACAGUUACGGUGGCAGGGGCAACAGUAAUGGUGGCAGUGGCUGUUGUCGUAGUGGCAGCUGCAGUUGUGGUGGCAGUUGCACUUGUGGUUGCAGUGGCUGCUGUUCUGGUAGCGGCUAAAGUUGUGGUGGCAGGGGGUGUUGUCGUAGUGGCAGCUGUUGUUGUGUUGGCCGUGACUGUGGUAGUGGCAGCAGUAGUUGUGGUGGCGGCUACUGUUGCUAUGAUGGCAGGGGCUGUCAUAUAUGUGGCUGCAGUUGAAGUGGCAGGGCCUGUCGUAGGGACGUCUGCAGUUACAGUGGCAGGGGCUGCAGUAGUGGUGGCAGCAGCUGUUGUCAUGGUGGCAGCUGCAGUUGUGGUGGCAGUUGCAGUCGUGGUGGUGGCAGCUGCAGUCGUGGUGGCGGCAGCUGCAGUCGUGGUGGCGGCAGCUGCAGUCGUGGUGGCGGCAGCUGCAGUCGUGGUGGCGGCCGCUGCAGUCGUGGUGGCGGCCGCUGCAGUCGUGGUGGCGGCUGCAGUUGUGGUAGCAGUCGUAGUGGUGGCAAAUGCAGUUGUGGUUGCAGAUUCUGCUCUUGUGGUACCAGCUGGAGUUGUGGUGGCAGCGGCUCCUGUUGUGGUGGCUGCUGUAGUUGUAGUGGCAUCUACAAUUGUGCUGGCAACUGCUGUUGCUAUGGUGGCAGAGGUUGUCGUAGUGGAAGCUGCAGUUGUGGUAGGAGUCGUAGUGGUGUCUGCAUUUGUGCUGGCAGGGUCUGUCGUUAUUGCAGCUGCUGUGAUGGUAGCAGCUGCACUUGUGGUUUCAGUGGCUACUGUGUUGGUAAAGGCUAAAGUUGUGGUGGCAUGAGUUGUCUUAGUGGUGUCUCCAGUUGUGGUGGCAGGGCCUGUCAUAGUGGCGUCUGCAGUUACAGUGGCAGGGGCUACAGUAGUGGUGGCAGCGGCUGUUGUCAUGGUGGCAGCUGCAGUUGUGGUGGCAGUUGCAGUCGUGGUGGUGGCAGCUGCAGUCGUGGUGGUGGCAGCUGCAGUCGUGGUGGUGGCAGCUGCAGUCGUGGUGGUGGCAGCUGCAGUCGUGGUAGCAGUCGUAGUGGUGGAAAAUGCAGUUGUGGUUGCAGAUUCUGCUCUUGUGGUACCAGCUGGAGUUGUGGUGGCAGCGGCUCCUGUUGUGGUGGCUGCUGUAGUUGUAGUGGCAUCUACAGUUGUGCUGGCGACUGCUGUUGCUAUGGUGACAGAGGCUGUCGUAGUGGAAGCUGCAGUUGUGGUAGGAGUCGUAGUGGUGUCUGCAUUUGUGCUGGCAGGGUCUGUCGUUAUUGCAGCUGCUGUUGUGGUAGCAGCUGCACUUGUGGUUGCAGUGGCUGCUGUGUUGGUAAAGGCUAAAGUUAUGGUGGCAUGAUUUGUCUUAGUGGUGUUUCCAGUUGUGGUGGCAGGGGCUGCAGUAGUGGUGGCAGCGGCUGUCGUCGUAGUGGCAGCUGCAGUUGUGCUGGCAGCGGCUGUCGUCUUAGUAUCAGCUGCAGUUGUGGUGGCAGCUGCACUUGUGGUUGCAGUGGCUGCUGUUGUGGUAGCGGAUAAAGUUGUGGUGGCAUGGGUUGUCUUUGUGGUGUCUCCAGUUGUGGUGGCAGGGGCUGUCAUAGUGGUGUCUACAGUUACGGUGGCAGGGGCUGCAGUAGUGGUGGCAGUGGCUGCUGUCGAGGUGGCAGGGGUUGUCUUAGCAGUGUCUACAGUUGUGGUGGUAGCGGCUGUUGUCGUAGUGGCAGCUGCAGUUGUGGUUGAAGCUGCUGCUCUUGUAGUACCAGCUGGAGUUGUGGUGACAAUUGCUACUGUUGUAGUGGCUGCUGUAGUUGAAGUGGCGGCUACAGUUGUGGUGGUGGCGGCUGCUGUUGCUGUGGUUGCAGGGGCUGUUGUAUAUAUGGCUGCAGUUGUGGUGGCAGGGGCUGUCGUAGGGACGUCUGCAGUUACGGUGGCAGGGGCUGCAGUAGUGGUAGCAGUGGCUGCUGUCGAGGUGGCAGGGGUUGUCUUAUUGGUGUCUGAAGUUGUGGUGGUAGCGGCUGUUAUCAUAGUGGCAGCUGCAGUUGAUGUAGCAGCUGCACUUGUGGUUGCAAUGGCUGCUGUUCUUGUAGCGGCUAAAGAGUUGGUGGCAUGGGCUGUCUUAGUGGUGUCUCCAGUUGUGGUGGCAGGGGCUGUCGUAGUGGCGUCCUUAGUUAUGGUGGCAGGGGCUGCAGUAGUGGUGUCUGCUGCAGUUGUGGUGGUAGCGGCUGUUGUCAUAGGGGCAGCUGUCGUAGCAUAUGCACUUGUAUUUGCAGUGGCUGCUGUUGUGGUAGCGGCUAAAGUUGUGGUGGCAGGGGGUGUUGUCGAAGUGGCAGCUGUCGUAGUGGCGGCUGCAGUUGUGGUUGCAGCUCUUGUGGUACCAGCUGGAGUUGUGGUGGCAGUUGCUACUGUUGUAGUGGCUGCUGUAGUUGUAGUGGCGGCUACAGUUGUGCUGCCGACUGCUGUUGCUAUGGUGGCAGAGGCUAUUGUAGUGGAAGCUGCAGUUGUGGUAGUAGUUGUAGUGGUGUCUACAGUUGUGGUAGCAGGGGCUGUCGUCGUAGUGGCAGCUGCUGUUUUGUUAGCAGUCAUAGUGGCAGCUGCUGUUGUUUUUGCAGAUGCUGCUCUUGUGGUACCAGCUGAAGUUGUGGUGGCAGCGGCUGCUGUUGUGGUGGCAGCGGCUGCUGUUGUGGUGGCAGUCGUUGUGGUGGCUGCUGUUGUGGUGGCAGUCGUUGUGGUGGCUGCUGUUGUGGUUGCAGAUGCUGCUCUUGUGGUACCAGCUGGAGUUGUGGAGGCAGCGGCUGCUGUAGUCGUAGUGGCUGCUGUAGUCGUAGUAGCAUCUACAGUUGUGCUGGCGGCUGCUGUUGCGGCAGAGACUGUCGUAGUGGAAGCUAAAGUUGUGGUAGUAGUCGUAUUGGUGUCUGCAGUUGUGGUGGCAGGGUCUGUUGUAAUUUCAGCUGCAGUUGUGGUGGCAGGGACUGUCAUAGUGGCGUCUGCAUUUGUGGUGGCAGUGGCUGUCGUAGUGGCGUCUACAGUUACGGAGGCAGCGGCUGCAGUAGUGGUGUCAGCGACUGUCGUCAUAGUGGCAGCUGCAGUUGUGGUAGCAGCUGCACUUGUGGUUGCUGUGGCUGCUGUUGUGGUAGCGGCUAAAGUUGUGGUGGCAUGGGAUGUCUUAGUAGUGUCUCCAGUUGUGUUGGCAGAGGCUGUCGUAGUGGCGUCUACAGUUACGGUGGCAGGGGCUGCAGUAGUGGUGGCAGGGGCUGCUGUAGUGGUGGCAGGGGUUGUCUUAGUGGUGUCUACAGUUGUGGUGGUAGCGACUGUUAUCAUAGUGGCAGCUGCAGUUGAUGUAGCAGCUACACUUGCUGUUGCAAUGGCUGCUGUUCUGGCAGCGGCUAAAGUUUUGGUGGCAUGGGCUGUCUUAGUGGUGUCUCCAGUUGUGGUGGCAGGGGCUGUCGUAGUGGCGUCCUUAGUUAUGGUGGCAGACUCUGCAGUUGUGGUGUCAGCUGCAGUUGUGGUGUCAGCUACAGUUGUGGUGGCAGCGGCUGUCAUCAUAGUGGCAGCUGCAGUUGUGGUGGCAGCUGCACUUGUGGUUGCAAUGGCUGCUGUUCUGGUAGCAGUUAAAGUUUUGGUGGCAUGGGCUGUCUUAGUGGUGUCUCCAAUUGUGGUGGCAGGGGCUGUCGUAGUGGCGUCCUUAGUUAUGGUGGCAGGGGCUGCAGUUGUGGUGUCAGCUGCAGUUGUGGUGUCAGCUACAGUUGUGGUGGCAGUGGCUGUCGUCAUAGUGGCAGCUGCAGCUGUGGUAGUAGCGGCUGUUGUCGUAGGGGCAGCUGCAGUUGUGGUUGCAGUUGUUACUGUUGUAGUGGCUGCUGUAUUCAUAGUGGUGGCUACAGUUAUGGUGGCAGCUGCUGUUGCUGUGGUGGCAGGGACUGUCAUAGUGGAACCUACAGUUGUGGUAAUGUCUGCAGUUGUGUUGGCAGGGGCUAUCCUAUUAGUGGCUGCAGUUACGGUGGCAGGGGCUGUCGUAGUGGUGGCAAUGGCUGUUGUCGUGGUGGCAAAUGCAGUUGUGGUGUCAGCGGCUGUCGUCAUAGUGGCAGCUGCACUUGUGGUUGCAAUGGCUGCUGUUCUUGUAGCGGCUAAAGAGUUGGUGGCAUGGGCUGUCUUAGUGGUGUGUCCAGUUGUGGUGGCAGGGGCUGUCGUAGUGGCGUCCUUAGUUAUGCUGGCAGAGGCUGCAGUAGUGGUGUCAGCUGCAGUUGUGGUGUCAGCUGCAGUUGUGGUGGUAGUGGCUGUCG